UAGUAACAUAAUCAAAGGACACAGCCUGGAACCGGUGGGGCCAAGGCAAAGCCUGUCCCACAGCCAGCAGGGGCCUCCAGGUGGAGCUGCCCAGGGUCCCCACCCAGCCCGGCGGGGGUCUCCUCCGUCUUCCUUCCCCGUCAGAGGAUUUUCCCUCUUAGCCACUCAAGUUGGGGACUGUGUAGACGCUGCUACUGGGUUAGUCAGUGCAGACUCUGGUGAGUAACUGGGUAAUUAUUUCCAAAAAUAUUGACUUGUAAUGUGAAGAAAGCUCUUCUCCAUGCCACCCGUCAGCAGAAAAUUGCCUUUGGUAUUAACAUUUCACCAACUGCAUAAUGUGAAUUGAUGUAAAUGCAUAAUUAGAAAUAAUAGCCUGGGAAAAUUCACUCUUAUUUAUAAAAUUGGGCUUGUUAAAUUAAAAUGGAAGCUAACAGCUUCCAUCUCACUCUUACGACAUGUCGGAGGCAGUGCCUGCCUGGUUCUGCAGAACCCUCCAUCAGCGGGUAGGGGCAUGUCCGUGGCUCAGUGGGGAGACCUUGGAGAGGGGACACUCGCUGAGCAGGCAUGGACGCCACCUGUCCAAAAGGUGGCUCUCUAGUAACACGCACAGGCCUCUCGAAGACGUCUUAAUCAACAGGCAACCAAUGGCAACCCCUCGGGGAAGAGGGCUGGGGACAGUUUCCUCAGCCCUCCUUCUUGUGGAAUGGGGACCAGCACACCUGCCCCACCCGAGUCCCAGGGACGUGGUGGGGGCUGGGUGCGAUGCUGUGCUGUGCUGGGGCAUCGAGGCACAGGAAUGUGCUCUGCAAACGCUGAGAGCUUGCCGAGGGCAGUGAGAAGAGAAACUUCAUCAUCAUCAUCAUCAUCAUCAUCAUCAUCAUCAUCAUCGAUAUUCAUUCAUUCAUUCAACAAGCACUCAUUAAGCAUCUACUACUCCAUGCCAGUCCCUGUGCCAGGUGGUGGAGGUAUAGAGGUGCCCGCACCUCCACAUUGUGGGGAAGGGUAACACUGGCAUUCUGUUCACAUUUAUGAUGAAUGGCUGAUUUUUUGAAGUUUGCCCUACAGCUCCUUCCAUAUGGACAUAACCCUCCCCACAUACCCCAUCCUUAUUAGGUGAGUGGGGCUGACCCCAUUCCCCAGCUUUGGAGAUGGAAAUGUGACCCAGACCUUGAAAAUCAGAACUCUCUAGCCUGUGACCACAGUAAUAAGUCCAAGGAUGCAUGGGGCCCUGGCUGGACAUAAGUCCAUGUCGUAAGGAGGAGUCUGGCCAAGUCACCAAGAAGGCAGCACUCUUUGGUCCCCAGAAUGGCGGGCUGUGAGGAUAGCCAGAGCCAUCUUUGCACCACCUGGGGAGAAGCUAGAGCUGGGACCCCAAGAGACGACCUUGUGGUGUUGCUCGUGUCCUUGGUGCAGCCAUGCCUGAGGCAGGUGCCCCACACUCCUCAGUUCCGUGGCCAGGACCCUGUUUUUGUUUUCACACUGCAGUCGGAGCUCCGUUUCCUGUCAGUUACUACGGGAAGAGUCUGGGCUCUUUAUCCCCGAAUAAAAACCGCUCAUCAGAUAGCAGCCAUCACUGCUUCUAAGGCUCAGCUUAAAGGAGCUCCCCUUCCAGAAGCACUUGCUGAUGUGCUCGCAGUCCCAUCUUCCAACCCUGCGGGGCGUGUUGUCUGUCCCUCUUCCGUGGCUCAGGCUGUGCCCUCCUGGCAUCGGGUCCUGUUCUCUGCAGUUGAGCCCAGAGGGCCUGGCACUCGUGGAGGCCAUCGUCCUGUCUUCUCCAGGCCUGGAAGCUGUGGUGAAGUCAAGGGGAG
rnacentral:lncRNA from 1 species